GGAUCACACCUGGCAAGGGCUUCCAGCCACCCCCGCGCACCAUUCCCUAGCCAAGAAUACUAUACCGUGUCCCCCCCCCAGACCCCUGGAAUGAGUUGAGACCGCGUGUAACCCCCGGCCCCCAGAAUAUUUCCCGGCCUCUUACGAAGCCGCGGGGGCGGGGAUGACAGAAAGCGAGCCCGGCAGAAGCCUGAGGCCUACCGAGGCUUCGGCGAAGUGGAGGGGAAAUGGUGGAAGAGGCCGCUGGGGCGCCUCGCACGGAGACACCGGCCGCAAUGCCGGGCCCGCCGGCCGGCCAGCCAGCCAGGCUGCAGUACAGCGCAUACUUUCCUGCCACUGGGCCUUGUGAAACCCUGUCAACGUGCAUGAGCUUGGACUGCAAUUCACGUCAGAGUGUGUAGCUACGCUUUUUUAUUGUACUCGUGUCUACUGCUGAUGCCAUGGCUCCUAGCAUCCCAGUCUUGAACCAUGGUGCAAGGAUCCAUGCAUUUCUUCUGUCUGAAAGAUGGCUUCCCAGCCUGAAAUGAUAAUAAAAUGUCAACUAACAGCAA